rnacentral:rRNA from 1 species
UACGAAGGGGGCUAGCGUUGUUCGGAAUUACUGGGCGUAAAGGGCGCGUAGGCGGUACUUCAAGUCAGGCGUGAAAGCCCCGGGCUCAACCUGGGAACCGCGCUUGAGACUGGAGAACUAGAGUUCGGGAGAGGAUGGUGGAAUUCCCAGUGUAGAGGUGAAAUUCGUAGAUAUUCGGAAGAACACCAGUGGCGAAGGCGACUUACUGGACACAUAUUGACGCUGAGGUGCGAAAGCGUGGGGAGCAAACAGG